UACGUAGGGUGCGAGCGUUGUCCGGAAUUAUUGGGCGUAAAGAGCUCGUAGGCGGUUUGUCGCGUCUGCUGUGAAAACCUGAGGCUCAACCUCGGGCUUGCAGUGGGUACGGGCAGACUAGAGUGCGGUAGGGGUGACUGGAAUUCCUGGUGUAGCGGUGAAAUGCGCAGAUAUCAGGAAGAACACCCGUGGCUAAGGCGGCUCUCUAGUACGGUACUGACGCUGAGACGCGAAAGCGUGGGGAGCGAACAGG
rnacentral:rRNA from 1 species